AGUUUACACACACUUCCCUUAUUUACUUUACCUUUUCUCUUUUGUCGGACAUCGUGAACAAUGUCAUCUUCAUCACCAUAACUCCUCCGCCUUCAAACCUACCAAGUUCCUCCAUUUCCUUCUCUGUUUUAUAACCGAUAUCGGAGGAAAGCCAUUAUUUUCCUCCGGCUGUUACGGUAAUUGAAGCUUCGUUCCGGCGGACGGUGUAGACGAGGGCGUGAAAAUUAGGUACCUUUGCAGGCAAACUUGUCAGCAACGCCACAGUCGUUGUGGUAUACUUCCAACAGAGCUUGCGUGACGUUGUUGUCAGAAGAAUGUGCGAUGAAAUCGUCGCAGAGACAAGUUACUUGCCUAUCGGUCGCCGAUUUGAGAGCGCUGCAGCAGUCAUCAGAUGGCGUCAAAUUCCCGCUUAAGUAGCAUUUGGUGAGGGUGUCAGUGAUCAACAAAGCGCACACUGGAUCCAGCUUUGGCAUCGUUUGUGCUUCCGUCCACCGGGGAGCGAUCAUGACCGCUAAAAAUAGCAUCGCUGUCGCAACCGCAGCUGCUGCCGAGAUUUUGUUAGUGUAAGCCAUGAAAGAUCGUUGUCUAAACCGGGCAAAAAGCAAAGCUCUGUUUUGUUUUUGUUUUUGUUUUGAGUAUUUGUUCGUUUUCCUUUGUUUGUAAAUGACUUUCUCAAGAGUACAUUAUCAUCAUCACCAUAUAUAUACAUUGUGUUAGUGGA